CGGAGGAAAAGAAACCAACAGGGAUUGCCUCAGUAACGGCGAGUGAAGCGGCAAGAGCUCAAAUUUGAAAGCUGGCCCCUUCGGGGUCCGCGUUGUAAUUUGCAGAGGAUGCUUCGGGUGCAGCCCCCGUCUAAGUGCCCUGGAACGGGCCGUCAUAGAGGGUGAGAAUCCCGUCUGGGACGGGGUGUCUGCGUCCGUGUGAAGCUCCUUCGACGAGUCGAGUUGUUUGGGAAUGCAGCUCUAAAUGGGUGGUAAAUUUCAUCUAAAGCUAAAUACUGGCCGGAGACCGAUAGCGCACAAGUAGAGUGAUCGAAAGAUGAAAAGCACUUUGAAAAGAGAGUUAAACAGCACGUGAAAUUGUUGAAAGGGAAGCGUUUGCGACCAGACUCGCCCGCGGGGUUCAGCCGGCAUUCGUGCCGGUGUACUUCCCCGUGGGCGGGCCAGCGUCGGUUUGGGCGGCCGGUCAAAGGCCCUCGGAAUGUAUCACCUCUCGGGGUGUCUUAUAGCCGAGGGUGCAAUGCGGCCUGCCUGGACCGAGGAACG
rnacentral:rRNA from 1 species